UGGGGAAUAUUGCGCAAUGGGGGGAACCCUGACGCAGCCAUGCCGCGUGAAUGAAGAAGGCCUUAGGGUUGUAAAGUUCUUUCGGUAUUGAGGAAGGUUGAUGUGUUAAUAGCACAUCAAAUUGACGUUAAAUACAGAAGAAGCACCGGCUAACUCCGUGCCAGCAGCCGCGGUAAUACGGAGGGUGCGAGCGUUAAUCGGAAUAACUGGGCGUAAAGGGCACGCAGGCGGUUAUUUAAGUGAGGUGUGAAAGCCCCGGGCUUAACCUGGGAAUUGCAUUUCAGACUGGGUAACUAGAGUACUUUAGGGAGGGGUAGAAUUCCACGUGUAGCGGUGAAAUGCGUAGAGAUGUGGAGGAAUACCGAAGGCGAAGGCAGCCCCUUGGGAAUGUACUGACGCUCAUGUGCGAAAGCGUGGGGAGCAAACAGGAUUAGAUACCCUGGUAGUCCACGCUGUAAACGCUGUCGAUUUGGGGGUUGGGGUUUAACUCUGGCGCCCGUAGCUAACGUGAUAAAUCGACCGCCUGGGGAGUACGGCCUGCAAGGUUA
rnacentral:rRNA from 1 species